CACAAACUGCCAAGAAAAGAGCAGUUUCCUGCAGGAUUUUUUAGGUGCAUCUGAAGUGUGGAUAAGCUCUGCUGUGUGCAAGUCCUGAAUAUAAAUUAGCAAUCACAUCUAAAAGAAGUGGAAUGAGAAAGGACCUUUUAAAAAGCUCUUGCUGGUUACAAGGGCCAAGAGCCCAACUACAGGGACUGUCUCGAUGCGUGUGUUCAGGUCCUGACAUGUUUAGUAAAAGUAGUAAAGAGUGGAAGACAGUCUGAAACAGCUUUAAUCUCAUGACUAAGGAACUGCCAGAAAGAAGAGAGACUCUUUUCACAGUGGAAAGCAUUUGCAUGUGUUUAAGCAGAAUUUUUUAUAUUCAAGUUGAACAAACAGUUCCAAAGAGCUUUGCUUUUAAUGGGUUUUCCAGUUAUAUUGACUAAUGUACAGAGGAGAGAGGUCAAGUAACAACUAUUUCCAAAUAAAAUUAGAUUCUGCUGAAAUCAGAAUCUAUGACUUUCUUAGCCCUGAGUCCUUUUCCCCAAGGCAUUCACUAUCAGAGAUUAUCUAAUUAUGUAAUAUUUUACACAAUAAAUGCAAGCAUUGUGCUUU